rnacentral:rRNA from 1 species
CUACGGGGGGCAGCAGUGGGGAAUAUUGCACAAUGGGGGGAACCCUGAUGCAGCAACGCCGCGUGGAGGAUGACGCAUUUCGGUGUGUAAACUCCUUUUAUAUGUCAAGAAAAUGACGGUAGCAUAUGAAUAAGCACCGGCUAACUCCGUGCCAGCAGCCGCGGUAAUACGGAGGGUGCAAGCGUUACUCGGAAUCACUGGGCGUAAAGGACGCGUAGGCGGGUUGGAAAGUCAGGUGUGAAAUCCUACAGCUUAACUGUAGAACUGCACUUGAAACUUCUAAUCUAGAGUAUGGGAGGGGGAGAUGGAAUUAGUGGUGUAGGGGUAAAAUCCGUAGAUAUCACUAGGAAUACCUAAAGCGAGGGCGAUCUCCUGGAACAUUACUGACGCUAAGGCGUGAAAGCGUGGGGAGCAAGCAGGAUUAGAUACCCGGGUAGUC